rnacentral:rRNA from 1 species
AUGAACGCUAGCUACAGGCUUAACACAUGCAAGUCGAGGGGCAGCAUCAUCAAAGCUUGCUUUGAUGGAUGGCGACCGGCGCACGGGUGAGUAACACGUAUCCAACCUGCCGACAACACUGGGAUAGCCUUUCGAAAGAAAGAUUAAUACCGGAUGGCAUAGUUUUCCCGCAUGGGAUAAUUAUUAAAGAAUUUCGGUUGUCGAUGGGGAUGCGUUCCAUUAGGCAGUUGGCGGGGUAACGGCCCACCAAACCUACGAUGGAUAGGGGUUCUGAGAGGAAGGUCCCCCACAUUGGAACUGAGACACGGUCCAAACUCCUACGGGAGGCAGCAGUGAGGAAUAUUGGUCAAUGGACGAGAGUCUGAACCAGCCAAGUAGCGUGAAGGAUGACUGCCCUAUGGGUUGUAAACUUCUUUUAUACGGGAAUAAAGUGAGCCACGUGUGGCUUUUUGUAUGUACCGUAUGAAUAAGGAUCGGCUAACUCCGUGCCAGCAGCCGCGGUAAUACGGAGGAUCCGAGCGUUAUCCGGAUUUAUUGGGUUUAAAGGGAGCGUAGGCGGGUUGUUAAGUCAGUUGUGAAAGUUUGCGGCUCAACCGUAAAAUUGCAGUUGAUACUGGCGACCUUGAGUGCAACAGAGGUAGGCGGAAUUCGUGGUGUAGCGGUGAAAUGCUUAGAUAUCACGAAGAACUCCGAUUGCGAAGGCAGCUUACUGGAUUGUAACUGACGCUGAUGCUCGAAAGUGUGGGUAUCAAACAGGAUUAGAUACCCUGGUAGUCCACACAGUAAACGAUGAAUACUCGCUGUUGGCGAUAUACAGUCAGCGGCCAAGCGAAAGCAUUAAGUAUUCCACCUGGGGAGUACGCCGGCAACGGUGAAACUCAAAGGAAUUGACGGGGGCCCGCACAAGCGGAGGAACAUGUGGUUUAAUUCGAUGAUACGCGAGGAACCUUACCCGGGCUUAAAUUGCAACUGACGGAACCGGAAACGGUUCUUUCUUCGGACAGUUGUGAAGGUGCUGCAUGGUUGUCGUCAGCUCGUGCCGUGAGGUGUCGGCUUAAGUGCCAUAACGAGCGCAACCCUUACGGGUAGUUACCAUCAGGUUAUGCUGGGGACUCUACCCGGACUGCCGUCGUAAGAUGUGAGGAAGGUGGGGAUGACGUCAAAUCGGCACGGCCCUUACGUCCGGGGCUACACACGUGUUACAAUGGGGGGUACAGAAGGCAGCUACACGGCGACGUGGUGCUAAUCCCAAAAGCCUCUCUCAGUUCGGAUUGGAGUCUGCAACCCGACUCCAUGAAGCUGGAUUCGCUAGUAAUCGCGCAUCAGCCACGGCGCGGUGAAUACGUUCCCGGGCCUUGUACACACCGCCCGUCAAGCCAUGAAAGCCGGGGGUACCUGAAGUACGUAACCGCGAGGAGCGUCCUAGGGUAAAACUGGUGAUUGGGGCU